UACGUAGGGGGCUAGCGUUGUCCGGAAUCAUUGGGCGUAAAGAGCGUGUAGGCGGUCCGGUAAGUCCGCUGUGAAAGUCGGGGGCUCAACCCUCGAAUGCCGGUGGAUACUGUCGGGCUAGAGUCCGGUAGGGGAGCAGGGAAUUCCUGGUGUAGCGGUGAAAUGCGCAGAUAUCAGGAGGAACACCGGUGGCGAAGGCGCUGCUCUGGGCCGGUACUGACGCUGUGGAGCGAAAGCGUGGGUAGCAAACAGG
rnacentral:rRNA from 1 species